rnacentral:tRNA from 1 species
GCUUCUAUGGCUCAGUGGCAGAGCAUGCGCCUCGUAAGCGCAAGGUCCGUGGUUCGAUCCCGCGUGGAAGCU